GCAUUGUCUUAGAUGGCACAUUCACUCAGACACAGAAACCGUAUACUUCCCUACUAUAUCUAUAGUAGGCAAAAAGCAGUAGGUGAACAAAAAUAGUAUGUCUGAAUAAUUGUGAAAGAGUAGACGAGAAUUACCUGCAUGCUGUACUAAUUAUUGUGAGAUUCAGAUGAGCGUAUACUUAAGUUGCAUCCGAAUAUGCCAACGUAACUACUGCAUACAGUAGUAGGAGAAAAGAGUACUUGAAGAGAGUAGUAUGUCCGAAACCUCAGUAUUCAUGAAGGAGUAGGCAAGAAAUCCCUGGAUGUCCUGCUGCUUCAGCCCAGAUUCUGAAGAGCUCAUCCAAUGGACACUUUUCUAUCCCAGGAGGCCACGGGAGAGGAUACACCAUCAUCGAACUGAGCGGAGAACAGCAACGAGGGUAUUUACAAAUGGACAGAUAAGACACACGUGUGUUUAUCUGGGAAAGAGUGACUGAUGAAGGAAUGCUGCCAUCAAAGGCUUUGAAGCUUUUGUGGUGGAGCAGGACCUGCAAGGAAAGGUAAC